UACGUAGGGGGCAAGCGUUGUCCGGAAUCAUUGGGCGUAAAGCGCGUGUAGGCGGCCCACUAAGUCCGCUCUGAAAGCCCGGGGCUCAACCCCGGGAGCGGGUGGAUACUGGUGGGCUCGAGUCCGGAAGAGGUCAGUGGAAUUCCCGGGUGUAGCGGUGAAAUGCGCAGGAUAUCGGGAGGAACACCAAUGGCGAAGGCAGCUGACUGGGACGUGGACUGACGCUGAGAGCGAAAGCGUGG
rnacentral:rRNA from 1 species